UAGGGAAUCUUCCACAAUGGACGCAAGUCUGAUGGAGCAACGCCGCGUGAGUGAAGAAGGCUUUCGGGUCGUAAAACUCUGUUAUUGAAGAAGAACGUGUGUGACAGUAACUGGUCAUGCAGUGACGGUAUUCAAUCAGAAAGUCACGGCUAACUACGUGCCAGCAGCCGCGGUAAUACGUAGGUGGCAAGCGUUGUCCGGAUUUAUUGGGCGUAAAGCGAGUGCAGGCGGUCUUUUAAGUCUGAUGUGAAAGCCUUCGGCUUAACCGAAGAAGGGCAUCGGAAACUGGGGGACUUGAGUGCAGAAGAGGAGAGUGGAACUCCAUGUGUAGCGGUGAAAUGCGUAGAUAUAUGGAAGAACACCAGUGGCGAAGGCGGCUCUCUGGUCUGUAACUGACGCUGAGGCUCGAAAGCGUGGGUAGCAAACAGGAUUAGAUACCCUGG
rnacentral:rRNA from 1 species